rnacentral:tRNA from 1 species
UUUUGUCUAGUUUAGUAAAAAUGGUGGCUUGUCAGGCCAUGGAUGAGGCCAGGUUCCUCGACAGGGU